rnacentral:rRNA from 1 species
GACGAACGCUGGCGGCGUGCCUAAUACAUGCAAGUAGAACGCAGUUUCGAACGGGUGAGUAACGCGUAGGUAACUGCCUCAUAGCGGGGGAUAACUCUUGGAAACGCUAGCUAAUACCGCAUCCUGUGAGAUGGACCUGCGUUGUAUUAGCUAGUUGGUGAGGUAAAGGCUCACCAAGGCGACGAUACAUAGCCGACCUGAGAGGGUGAUCAGCCACACCGGGACUGAGAAAGGUCCCAGAAUACUACGAGGAGCAGCAGUAGGGAAUCUUUGUCAAUGGAAGGAAGUCUGAACGAUCAACGUCGCAUGAGUGAAGAAGGUUUUCGGAUAGCAGAGCUCUGUUGGUAGAGAAGCGGUAACUAACCAGAAAGGAACGGCUAACUACGUGCCAGCAGCCGCGGUAAUAC